rnacentral:misc_RNA from 1 species
AACGCACGAGACCUGCGGACCUGCGGAGGGAUCAUCAUGGGAAAAAUGUGACUUGUGAGUUUUUCUGUUGCUCACUCACCAAGCUGUGGGGAGUGGCGUGGUGGGGGGGCGCAUACUCUGCAACUGUUUCUGUGGGGGAUCUGGCUCUCUCACUCGCGCUUUCCGCAGCUUCAUCCAAACGAUCGCAACAAUGAUCAGAGAAAUUGGGAUUGGAUUGGGGGGGCGCCGUUUUUUUACCAC